rnacentral:rRNA from 1 species
GAAGGUGGCAAGCGUUAUUCGGAUUUACUGGGCGUACAGGGAGCGUAGGCGGUUUGGUAAGCCCUCUGUGAAACCUCCAGGCUUAACCUGGAAAAGUCGGAGGGGACUGCUGGGCUAGAGGACGGGAGAGGAGCGCGGAAUUCCCGGUGUAGCGGUGAAAUGCGUAGAGAUCGGGAGGAAGGCCGGUGGCGAAGGCGGCGCUCUGGAACGUUUCUGACGCUGAGGCUCGAAAGCGUGGGGAGCAAACAGGAUUAGAUACUCUGGUAGUCCACGCCUUAAACUAUGAAUACUAAGUGUCGGCAGUUUACUGCCGGUGCCGCAGCUAACGCAUUAAGUAUUCCGCCUGGGAAGU